CUACGGGAGGCUCCAGUGGGGAAUAUUGCACAAUGGGCGCAAGCCUGAUGCAGCCAUGCCGCGUGUAUGAAGAAGGCCUUCGGGUUGUAAAGUACUUUCAGCGGGGAGGAAGGGAGUAAAGUUAAUACCUUUGCUCAUUGACGUUACCCGCAGAAGAAGCACCGGCUAACUCCGUGCCAGCAGCCGCGGUAAUACGGAGGGUGCAAGCGGUAAUCGGAAUUACUGGGCGUAAAGCGCACGCAGGCGGUUUGUUAAGUCAGAUGUGAAAUCCCCGGGCUCAACCUGGGAACUGCAUCUGAUACUGGCAAGCUUGAGUCUCGUAGAGGGGGGUAGAACUCCAGGUGUAGCGGUGAUAUGCGUAGAGAUCUGGAGGAAUACCGGUGGCGAAGGCGGCCCCCUGGACGAAGACUGACGCUCAGGUGCGAAAGCGUGGGGAGCAAACAGGAUUAGAUACCCCGGUAGUC
rnacentral:rRNA from 1 species